rnacentral:lncRNA from 1 species
CUCUGUGGCCUCCCUCCCGGGUGGGCACACUCUGUCCUUUCCCGGUGUUUCCAUGCGGUCCCUCUGCGUGUGCCUGUGUUCUACCCCCGCUCUAACAAGGUCACCAGCUAGAUAGGAUUGGGGCCACCCUAGUGACCUCAUUUAACCUCCGUCUCCCGUCUGAAGACGCCGUCUGCAAAUACAGUCCCAGUCACAAGUGCUGGCUCUCAGGGCUCGAACAGGGGAGCCCGGGGGGGGGGGGGCGCCGCUCAGCCGCAGGAGCCCGUGGCGCUGUCCCAGGGCGGUGCCCGCCUCUCGCCUGGAGAACAAGAAGGGGUUCCCUGCACACCGUGCUCUGCUGGGAGAGCGUGGUUCUGGGUCAGAGGAUGGAGCGCCAACAGACCUUGCAAGGGGAGGCGCAGGCAGGAAAGCGUCCCGGGCUCUCGGUUGAGGAAUGGUCUCAGACCCAGCUGCCGCACACCGGGGCCCCUGCCAAACACCGAUGGUUCACAAGAACCCGGCGGGACGGGCUGCACCCCAUGACCACCCUGGCCGGCUGGACCCACUGCUGCCUCCGGCCGCAUCCCCUUCCACCGUGCUCUGCGCUGCACACGGCAGAGGGAGUCUCCCCGAAAAGAGGAGUCGGUGAUACAUCGAUGCUCCACGUCCCCAGGUGGUCUACAGUUGGUGUCAACACCCAGCCCCUUGGAGUGGUCCGGAGCCCCUAA